ensembl:lncRNA
UGGAAAGAACGUAGGCUGCCGUGGCGGUGCCCACCUAUCCCACCUACGCCCGCCUAUAACUCCGUUCUCCGGACCCAGCUCGAAGGUGAAGUGUGAAAGCAAAACAAGGGAUUUGGGUGUUACCUUAUAUCUACCUAGGAGGUCUAUGGGAGUGGAGGAGCUGUCCAGACGCUGGAGAAGAGAAGGGCGCCACGGGAAAUCAAGCAGUUAAGGAAGGAUUUAGGAGUAGUCAGGAGACUGGUGGAAGUUCUGGGAAAGGACGGAAGAGCCCUUGCCCCCCCCCCUCCCCUGGUGAUUACUUACCAAAGACCUCCAGAGUUCUCAGGCCCAGUCCCCUCCUGUCAAGAGACGAAAACCAAAGUUUUAGAUUCCCCUUUUCUCCUUUCCUAGAUUACCUUUUUAAAUAAUUUAAAUAAAGUUGUUUUAAAUUCCCUUCACUCAUCUUGUGUGUCUGGUCCUUGGGGUGAUUUUGGGACCUCCUCGAGGUGGAAGUCGGGAAGGGGCGUGACUCGCAACACCUGUGGUCCGCUCCGACCUGUGACAGAUUUUGGCGUAGUCGGCAGGGUUCCACCUCGAGUGGAGCGACCAAGGUCCCCCAAUGGCCGACAACGAGUUGCCAGGAGUCCCGCCCCGAGUCAUGCCUGUGUUUAUGGGAAGCCCAUGGGUCCAGAAAUAUGGCGGCACCGAAUCAGAGGUGAGACUAUCUGAAUGGAGAGCCCAGAUUGAGUAUUUGGCCGGGCUUCAAGGGUUGAGUGCAGUCCAACAGCUACAGUUUGUACUGAACUCCUUGGAAGGGGAAGCGCGGCGCGAAGUCCAGGCCGCCCCGGAAGCUGUGCGGGCUACGGCCCAGUCCGUCUUUAACUUCCUGUCCGAGCAAUACGGAGACACCACCCCCGUUGCCGUCCUCCGAGCCCAGUUCUUUAGUUGUAAACAAGGACCCCGGCAGCCUAUACGAGCCUAUGCACUACGACUUCGGGAGCAGCUCACCAGAUUGCAAAAAUGUCCGGAUCACGGCCUGGAGGACGGAGAGAUCCUUCUGAGGGAUCAGUUCCUACUAGGACUGCGGGAAGGCCCAGUGCGGCAGAGCCUACGGGUACAGUUCCGAAGAGAUCCUGAACUGACGUUUGAAGAUCUGAAGAAGGAGGCAGUUGCCUUAGAGCUCGACCAGGUUGAGGUUAAAGAUUCCCCUGUGUGUGCGGCCGUAAGUAGUAGUGCAGCUGCCCCUCCCGAAGUGGAUUGGAAACAGACAUUAAGGACCGAGCUCAUGAAGGAUGUCCGUGAACAGAUGAAAGAGCUGUCUAAAACGCUGUUGGAGGAAUUGCGGCAGGGGGCCCCUAGCCAGGAGGUAAGGCACGCCCCUCGAGAGCGAGCGUAUUCCGAUGGUGGCCGGGACCCGGGGAGACGAUUGAGUCGGCCGGCUCGCCCACGCUUUGAAUGGGACGAACAGGGGCGACCCAUCUGCAACCGUUGUGGGGAGGCCGGACAUUAUAGCCGACAGUGCGGACCUCGAAGAGGCUCGAUGGGGGGUUUUUAGGACGACCGGCCACAGUGGGUCAUGUGGUCGGGCCCCCUUUAGAAGACCCAUCUCGAACAACGGAUUCGAAGGGCGGAUUGAUUGGACGGAGUCCGGUGGUGGAAGCGAAGGUAUGCGGUGUUAAAAUAUCCUGUUUGGUGGACACUGGAUCCCAGGUCACCUUGUUUUCUGAAAGCCUGUCACGAGAAGUAUUUGGCCAACGGAGUAUGAAAGGAAGCGACCCCUCAUGGCUGACCUUAAAGGGGGCAAAUGGAUUGGACAUCCCGUACAUCGGGUACGUUGUGGCUGAUGUAGAGAUUCGUGGAAUCGUUGUACCCCAGAAGGGGAUUGUGGUAGUCCAGGAUCACUGCUUGGGGACUCAUCGAGCCCUGCUGGGGAUGAAUGUGAUCGCCGAGUGCUGGGAAGAAUUGUUUCAGGCAAGGCCUGUGAAGACGAUCCCCCUGGCAGAACAACAAGAAUGGAGGCGAAUUGUUGCUGACUGCCGUCGAAUUCAGACGGCGAGGGUACGGAUGGAC